rnacentral:rRNA from 1 species
AUUGAACGCUGGCGGCAUGCCUUACACAUGCAAGUCGAACGGUAACGCGGGGCAACCUGGCGACGAGUGGCGAAUGGGUGAGUAAUGUAUCGGAACGUGCCCAGUUGUGGGGGAUAACUGCUCGAAAGAGCAGCUAAUACCGCAUACGACCUGAGGGUGAAAGCGGGGGAUCGCAAGACCUCGCGCAAUUGGAGCGGCCGAUAUCAGAUUAGGUAGUUGGUAGGGGUAAAGGCCCACAAGCCAACGAUCUGUAGCUGGUCUGAGAGGACGACCAGCCACACGUGGGACUGA